rnacentral:rRNA from 1 species
CGCAUCUGUGCAUGCAGCAUAUCAAUAAGCGGAGGAAAAGAAACUAGCAAGGAUUCCCUUAGUAACGGCGAGUGAAGCGGGAAGAGCUCAAAUUUGAAAUCUUCAAGGUUUUACCUUGACGAAUUGUAGUUUAAAGAAGUGUUUUCUGUUGAAGUUUUGGUAAAAGUUCUUUGGAAUAGGACAUCAUAGAGGGUGAGAAUCCCGUAUUUGACCAUUAUUUUCAGCUGUGUGAUACACUUUCAAAGAGUCGGAUUGUUUGGGAAUGCAGUCCAAAAUGGGUGGUAAAUUUCAUCUAAAGCUAAAUAUUGGCGAGAGACCGAUAGCGAACAAGUACCGUGAGGGAAAGAUGAAAAGAACUUUGAAAAGAGAGUUAAACAGUACGUGAAAUUGUCAAAAGGGAAGCGUUUGACACCAGUGUUGUUUUCUCGAAAAUCAAUUAAAAAGAGUUUAGAUUUUGUUGUGUAUUGACCUUAACAGCUUGCAUUUCAAUUUUCUUGCUUUUUUUAAUGCACUUUUCGUUUAACAAGUCAACAUCAGUUUCUUUUGUUGUAAAAAGGUCAUUGGAAGGUGGCUUUCUUUUCGGAGAAAGUGUUUAUAGCCUUUGACUCCUGCAAUCGGAGAGACUGAGGUCUGCAGCGUAGAUCCUUCGGGGUUAGAUACAUUUGUGCUAAGUUAUAGCUUUUUAUAGACAACUUGUUGACUAUGAUUAGUCUUGUAGCUUACUCGCUUAUGCUAUUUUACCUACGCUUAGGAUGUUGACGCGCGUGUGUGCGUG